UUCACGGAGAGUUUGAUCCUGGCUCAGGACGAACGCUGGCGGCGUGCUUAACACAUGCAAGUCGAACGAUG
rnacentral:ncRNA from 2 species